UGAUAAUAGAGUGCUGCCCAUAACCAUUUGGAUCCUACAGAAGUACCCUGGGCCGGUGCAGUUUCCAGCAAACAAGAGCAGCCUGGGGUCUCAGGUACAGGUGAAGUUUGUAUACGGUGUAUGCAUCAGGAACAUGGCACAAGGUGAUUGGCCGAAGACUCUAGUGGUUUUGAUGCUCCUGUCUUACCUAAGGGACACUCAUGAGGCCAGCGUUCACCGUCUUUGUGGGUUACACUUGGUUGAGGCUCUGCUCUUGGUGUGUGAAGGCAGAGGAUUUUACUACAGGCCUCAAAAAGGUUUCAAUGUACACACAAGCCGCCUGGGAACUUUCAUAGAACGUACUUCACAGAUGAACCACAAGAAGCUCGGCAUAGUGGAAAAGUGCUGUUACCGCUCCUGUACUUAUUAUGACCUGGAGCACUACUGUAAUCGUUAACACUGGUAUAGACACUGCUAUAGAAAGAAGUGAUGGGGCAGGCACCUUCUAAUGGGAAGCCUCUAUGCUCCAUUGUGCUGUAGGGCAAGCUGCACUGGAGAAUAUUCCAGUAACCCCAGCCACUGACAGCUCUGAGUGAUCACUUUGUUUUCUCACCUGAGCUUUAGGCUUUGUGUUUGUCCACUUGUUUACAAGAGCGUCCGGCUAUUGUGCCCUAGGUGCUAUGUGGAAUCUAAGAUGCUUCUGUUAUCUUCAAGACUGAAAAACAACACAUAAGGAAAGCAGAGCACAAAUACCUUCUGGAGAGGCUGACACUUUCCUGUGCCACCUAUCAUUUACAUGAAUGGAGAAAGUGUCUGUGUUAUCUGCUGUAGAUACUAUACAUAUACUAUAGAUCUGCUAUAGAUACUAUAAAUAUACUACAGAUCUGCCAAACUCAAUGGCAGGUGUCAUGGGCAGUUUUGUACAUUCCUCCAGCUGAAGAAAAUAGUAUGCCAUUAGCCUAUAGGAAAAUGUUAAAACUCAUGUUGUUAAUAUUUAAAGAAAUUUUAUUUGUACAUUGAUGAAUAUUAAAUAGUUUUAUGGUGA